rnacentral:rRNA from 1 species
GACGAACGCUGGCGGCGUGCUUAACACAUGCAAGUCGAACGGAAAGGCCCUGCUUUUGUGGGGUGCUCGAGUGGCGAACGGGUGAGUAACACGUGAGUAACCUGCCCUUGACUUUGGGAUAACUUCAGGAAACUGGGGCUAAUACCGGAUAGGAGCUCCUGCUGCAUGGUGGGGGUUGGAAAGUUUCGGCGGUCGGGGAUGGACUCGCGGCUUAUCAGCUUGUUGGUGGGGUAGUGGCUUACAAAGGCUUUGACGGGUAGCCGGCCUGAGAGGGUGACCGGCCACAUUAGGACUGAGAUACGGCCCAGACUCCUACGGGAGGCAGCAGUGGGGAAUAUUGCACAAUGGGCGGAAGCCUGAUGCAGCAACGCCGCGUGCGGGAUGACGGCCUUCGGGUUGUAAACCGCUUUCGCCUGUGACGAAGCGUGAGUGACGGUAAUGGGUAAAGAAGCACCGGCUAACUACGUG